rnacentral:rRNA from 1 species
GAUGAACGCUAGCUACAGGCUUAACACAUGCAAGUCGAGGGGAAACGACAUCGAAAGCUUGCUUUUGAUGGGCGUCGACCGGCGCACGGGUGAGUAACGCGUAUCCAACCUGCCCACCACUUGGGGAUAACCCUGCGAAAGUAAGACUAAUACCCAAUGAUAUCUCUAGAAGACAUCUGAAAGAGAUUAAAGAUUUAUCGGUGAUGGAUGGGGAUGCGUCUGAUUAGCUUGUUGGCGGGGUAACGGCCCACCAAGGCUACGAUCAGUAGGGGUUCUGAGAGGAAGGUCCCCCACAGUGAGACUGAGACACGGUCCAAACUCCUACGGGAGGCAGCAGUGAGGAAUAUUGGUCAAUGGGCGAGAGCCUGAACCAGCCAAGUAGCGUGCAGGAUGGCGGCCCUAUGGGUUGUAAACUGCUUUUAUAAGGGAAUAAAGUGAGCCUCGUGAGGCUUUUUGCAUGUACCUUAUGAAUAAGGACCGGCUAAUUCCGUGCCAGCAGCCGCCGUAAUAC